CUAUCACCAAGAUUUAAUAUAAAAUGGGGUGUCACUGUAAUACAGACAUCAGUUCAAUUUCAAUAUUGGAACAAUGAAAUUCUUGGCUUUCUUCACGUUGUUCGUGUUCGCCAUCUUGGCUCUGGCCAGUGGACAGCAGUUGGUCCGACAAGUGCGCAGUGGCAGUCGCAGUGCGCCUAUUGAUCUACGGUACCAUAUUAGUAAAGAAGCAUUAAAAUAUUAUUUAUAAUUGAUUUGGUGCUGUUUUUGCUUUUUGUGUUGGAGAUUAUGCGCUAGUUUUCUGAAAUUCAUUGAGACUAUGAAAAUGUAGCAUUUUAUUUUAUUAUUAUUUGUUGAAACCUUGAAAUGUCAUUAAUAACACAAUAAGCAUCUAUUGUAUUUCGAAUAAAAUGUAAGAUGUUAAUUCGAUAUAUGCAGAUCGAUUAUCGGUAUUAGUUCAUUCUAUUUUUCUCUUGUUUAUAGAGUAUGUAGUUACAAAUUGGACCACCUUGUGGGAACCCUAAACUUGAUUUACAGUUAAUAAUAACAUUGUUUUUGUGAUUACAACACGUUUCUGUUUGAAUUAGACAUAAACUAAAUAACCAUUAAUACGUUCUAUAACAUACACUAAGCAUUAAACUGCUUAAUAUUACGUGAUACUACUAUAUACAAGGAACAAGGUUUCAGAGAUCAUACAUUUAUUAUGUAGUUAAUUGUAUUGUUGGUUAGAUAUGUACUGUUUAUAAACAUUGAAUGACAGUUGAUCAAAAUAUAGAAUUUUUACAUGCAUAA